ACAAGAUAGUGAUUACUCAAAUCCGCCUCGAGACAAACUGAAGAAGUUAUUCAGUUCGUCUCGAGGCGGAUUGGAGUAAUCACUACCUUGU